UACGGGGGGGGCAAGCGUUGUUCGGAAUUACUGGGCGUAAAGGGCGCGUAGGCGGUUCGCUAAGUUGGAUGUGAAAACUCUGGGCUCAACCCAGAGCCUGCAUCCAAAACUGGCGGGCUAGAGUUCUGGAGGGGGUAGCGGAAUUCCUGGUGUAGCGGUGAAAUGCGUAGAUAUCGUAAGGAAGGCCGGUGGCGAAAGCGAGCCUCUGGACAGUUACUGACGCUGAUGCACGAAGGCCAGGGGAGCAAACGGG
rnacentral:rRNA from 1 species